rnacentral:lncRNA from 1 species
UGUAAUAAAACGACAAGAUCUAUAAAUUACUGGACGUGGGAAAAUAAGAUCCACAUGUAGAAGACCCGUUCGGUCUCUGAUGGCAAAGACGUGCUCGAUCUAAACAAUAAUCUAUUUAUUAUUUAAAACCGAUCUGUACCAUGAGAAAUUUGGCUCCAUAACCAUAAAAAUACUAAAACUAAAAAAACUAAAAAUACUAAAAUUAAAAAAAC